AUUGAACGCUGGCGGCAGGCCUAACACAUGCAAGUCGAGCGGAUGAAGGGAGCUUGCUCCUGGAUUCAGCGGCGGACGGGUGAGUAAUGCCUAGGAAUCUGCCUGGUAGUGGGGGAUAACGUCCGGAAACGGGCGCUAAUACCGCAUACGUCCUGAGGGAGAAAGUGGGGGAUCUUCGGACCUCACGCUAUCAGAUGAGCCUAGGUCGGAUUAGCUAGUUGGUGGGGUAAAGGCCUACCAAGGCGACGAUCCGUAACUGGUCUGAGAGGAUGAUCAGUCACACUGGAACUGAGACACGGUCCAGACUCCUACGGGAGGCAGCAGUGGGGAAUAUUGGACAAUGGGCGAAAGCCUGAGCCAGCCAUGCGGCGUGUGUGAAGAAGGUCUUCGGAUUGUAAAGCACUUUAUGUUGGGAGGAAGGGCAGUAAGUUAAUACCUUGCUGUUUUGACGUUACCAACAGAAUAAGCACCGGCUAACUUCGU
rnacentral:rRNA from 1 species